UACGGGAGGCAGCAGUGGGGAAUAUUGCACAAUGGGCGAAAGCCUGAUGCAGCUAUGCCGCGUGUAUGAAGAAGGCCUUAGGGUUGUAAAGUACUUUCAUCGGGGAGGAAAAAACAAAACUAAUAAUUUUAAUUUCUUGACGUUACCCGAAAAAGAAGCACCGGCUAACUCCGUGCCAGCAGCCGCGGUAAUACGGAGGGUGCUAGCGUUAAUCAGAAUUACUGGGCGUAAAGAGCACGUAGGUGGUUUUUUUUAAAGUCAGAUAUGAAAUCCCUGGGCUUAACCUAGGAACUGCAUUUUGAAACUGAAAUACUAGAGUAUCGUAGAGGGAGGUAGAAUUCUAGGUGUAGCGGUGAAAUGCGUAGAUAUCUGGAGGAAUACCUGUGGCGAAAGCGGCCUCCUAAACGAAUACUGACACUGAGGGUGCGAAAAGCGUGGGGAGCGAAAACAGGGAUUAGAUACC
rnacentral:rRNA from 1 species